UACGUAGGGUGCAAGCGUUGUCCGGAAUUAUUGGGCGUAAAGAGCUCGUAGGCGGUCCAUCGCGUCGGGAGUGAAAAGCUGGGGCUUAACCCCAGUCCUGCUUUCGAUACGGGUGGACUAGAGGUAGGCAGGGGAGAAUGGAAUUCCUGGUGUAGCGGUGAAAUGCGCAGAUAUCAGGAGGAACACCGGUGGCGAAGGCGGUUCUCUGGGCCUUACCUGACGCUGAGGAGCGAAAGCAUGGGGAGCAAACAGG
rnacentral:rRNA from 1 species